rnacentral:misc_RNA from 1 species
UUUCCGUAGGUGAACCUGCGGAAGGAUCAUUAAUGAAUUUUGAAAGGGGUUGUAGCUGGCCUUUAGGAGGCAUGUGCACGCCCUGCUCUUCCAUUCUUACCCCUGUGCACACUCUGUAGGUCGGUUUGAGCGGCUCUCUCUAACGGGGGAUGCUGUUUGGUCUUCCUAUGUUUUAUAACAAACUCUGUAAUGUCAUAGAAUGUCAUCGCGUAUAACGCAUUAUAAUAUAACUUUCAGCAACGGAUCUCUUGGCUCUC